UACGUAGGGCGCAAGCGUUAUCCGGAAUUAUUGGGCGUAAAGAGCUCGUAGGCGGUUUUGUCGCGUCUGCCGUGAAAGUCCGGGGCUCAACUCCGGAUCUGCGGUGGGUACGGGCAGACUAGAGUGAUGUAGGGGAGACUGGAAUUCCUGGUGUAGCGGUGAAAUGACGCAGAUAUCAGGAGGAACACCGAUGGCGAAGGCAGGUCUCUGGGCAUUAACUGACGCUGAGGAGCGAAAAGCAUGGGGGAGCGAACAGG
rnacentral:rRNA from 1 species